rnacentral:rRNA from 1 species
AACGAACGCUGGCGGCAGGCUUAACACAUGCAAGUCGAGCGCGUAGCAAUACGAGCGGCAGACGGGUGAGUAACACGUGGGGAUCUGCCCGAUGGUACGGAAUAACUCAGGGAAACUUGUGCUAAUACCGUAUGUGCCCGCAAGGGGAAAGAUUUAUCGCCAUCGGAUGAACCCGCGUCAGAUUAGCUAGUUGGUGUGGUAAAGGCGCACCAAGGCGACGAUCUGUAGCUGGUCUGAGAGGAUGAUCAGCCACACUGGGACUGAGACACGGCCCAGACUCCUACGGGAGGCAGCAGUGGGGAAUAUUGGACAAUGGGCGCAAGCCUGAUCCAGCCAUGCCGCGUGAGUGAUGAAGGCCUUAGGGUUGUAAAGCUCUUUCGCCGACGAAGAUAAUGACGGUAGUCGGAGAAGAAGCCCCGGCUAACUUCGUGCCAGCCGCCGCCGUAAUAC